rnacentral:tRNA from 1 species
CCGACCUUAGCUCAGUUGGUAGAGCGGAGGACUGUAGUUUUCCGCAGAUUAAUCCUUAGGUCGCUGGUUCGAAUCCGGCAGGUCGGA